rnacentral:rRNA from 1 species
AGAGUUUGAUCCUGGCUCAGAAUCAACGCUGGCGGCGCGCUUAACACAUGCAAGUCGAACGAGAAAGUGGAGCAAUCCAUGAGUAAAGUGGCGUACGGGUGAGUAACACGUGGGUAAUCUACCUUCUGGUGGGGAAUAACUCUGGGAAACCGGAGCUAAUACCGCAUAAGCCUGGAAAGGGAAAGGCGCAAGUCGCCGGAAGAGGAGCCCGCGGCCGAUUAGCUAGUUGGCAGGGUAAAAGCCUACCAAGGCAAAGAUCGGUAGCCGGCCUGAGAGGGCACACGGCCACACUGGCACUGAAACACGGGCCAGACUCCUACGGGAGGCAGCAGUGGGGAAUCUUGCACAAUGGGGGAAACCCUGAUGCAGCGACGCCGCGUGAGUGAUGAAGCCCUUCGGGGUGUAAAGCUCUUUCGGCAGGGACGAUAAUGACGGUACCUGAAGAAGAAGCUGCGGCUAACUACGUGCCAGCAGCCGCGGUAAUACGUAGGCAGCGAGCGUUGUUCGGAGUUACUGGGCGUAAAGCGUGCGUAGGCGGUGUCCUAAGUCUGGUGUGAAAUCUCCCGGCUCAACUGGGAGGGUGCGCUAGAAACUGGGAUGCUGGCGUGUGGGAGGGGUAAGCGGAAUUCCUGGUGUAGCGGUGAAAUGCGUAGAUAUCAGGAGGAACACCUGCGGUGUAGACGGCUUACUGGACCACUACUGACGCUGAGGCACGAAAGCGUGGGGAGCAAACAGGAUUAGAUACCCUGGUAGUCCACGCCCUAAACGAUGCAUACUUGGUGUGGGCAGUUCAGUCUGUCCGUGCCGUAGCUAACGCGUUAAGUAUGCCGCCUGGGGAGUACGGUCGCAAGCCUGAAACUCAAAGGUAUUGACGGGGGCCGCACAAGCGGUGGAGCAUGUGGUUUAAUUCGACGCAACGCGAAGAACCUUACCUGGGCUCGAACGGCUUCGGACAAUUCCUCUGGAAACAGGGAUUCUUCCCGCAAG